rnacentral:tRNA from 1 species
GGACAGGUGGCCGAUAAAGGUAGUAGAUUGUAAAUCUAUGCAUGGGAUUGCUCCUUCUGUCUA